rnacentral:rRNA from 1 species
GAUAGACGAAUGGUUUUGGGAAAGCCAGCCGUAGACGGUGAAAGCCCGGUAGACGAAAUCUUGAAGCAGCGAGCAGGAUCCAGAGUACCACGAGACACGAGAAACCUUGUGGGAAGCCGGGGGGACCACCCCCCAAGCCUAAAUACUCCCUAGUGACCGAUAGUGAAGCAGUACUGUGAAGGAAAGGUGAAAAGGACCCCGGGAGGGGAGUGAAAGAGAACCUGAAACCUUGUGCUUACAAACAGUCAAAGGCCUACGGGCUGAUGGCGUACUUUUUGUAGAACGGUCCGGCGAGUUACUAAUGCCAGCGAGGUUAAGUGGUCAGAAGCCACGGAGCCGAAGGGAAACCAAGUCUGAAUAGGGCGUAGAGUUGGUAUUAGUAGACCCGAAACCGGGUGACCUAUCCAUGUCCAGGUUGAAGGAACCGUAAAAGGUUUUGGAGGACCGAACACACAUGUGUUGAAAAACGUGGUGAUGAGGUGUGGAUAGCGGAGAAAUUCCAAUCGAACUCGGAGAUAGCUGGUUCUCCUCGAAAUAGCUUUAGGGCUAGCCUCGAGCUGGAGUCUAACGGAGGUAAAGCACUGAACUGACGCGGGGCCCAAAAAGGUUACCAACUCAUAUCAAACUAAGAAUGCCGUCAAGAUACCCUCGGGAGUCAGUCUGCGUGAGAUAAGUCGCGUGGACAAAAGGGAAAGAGCCCAGACCGACAGCUAAGGUCCCAAAGUACGUGUUAAGUGGAAAAGGAUGUGGGAUUUCAUAGACAACUAGGAUGUUGGCAGUGGUAGAGGAGCAUCCUGCAAGGACGAAGCCAAAGUGAGAGCGAUGGUGGACGAAACAGGAGAGAGAAUGCCGGAAUGAGUAGCGAGAUACAUGUGAGAAACAUGUAGGCCGAAUAUCUAAGGAUUCCUGGGUAAAGCUAAUCUUCCCAGGGUUAGUCGGGGCCUAAGGCGAGGACGAAAGUCGUAGUCGAUGGAUAACAGGUUGAUAUUCCUGUACUACACAUAAUCAGAACUGUGGGGACGCAGGAGGAUAGGGAAACCGGGGAAUGGAAAGACCCGGUCAAGCGCAAAGCUGUGGGAGAUAGGCAAAUCCGUCUCUUGUAAGUGAAGCGUGAUGAGGACUGAAAAAAAGUAAGGAAGUUUCCGAAUCCACACUGCCGAGAAAAGCCGCUAUUGCGUUAUGUGUACCCGUACCGUAAACCGACACAGGUAGAUGAGGAGAAAAUCCACAGGCCGACGGGAGAAGUGUUGUUAAGGAACUCGGCAAAAUGACCCCGUAACUUCGGGAUAAGGGGAGCCUCGCAAGAGGCCGCAGAAAAGAGGCACAAGCGAAGCUUUGAAUUCAAGCCCCAGUAAACGGCGGCCGUAACUAUAACGGUCCUAAGGUAGCGAAAUUCCUUGUCAGGUAAGUUCUGACCCGCACGAAAGGCGUAAUGAUUUGUGCACUGUCUCGACAACACGCCCGGUGAAAUUGAAGAACCAGUGAAGAUACUGGUUACCCGCAACAGGACGGAAAGACCCCAUGGAGCUUUACUGCAGCCUGAUACUGGGAUUCGAUGAUAUAUGUACAGGAUAGGUGGGAGGCUAAGAAGCGAGAACGCUAGUUUUCGUGGAGCCGCCGGUGGGAUACCACUCUUAUGUCAUUGAAUUUCUAACCUGCAUCCGUAAUCCGGAUGAGGGACAAUGUCAGGCGGGCAGUUUGACUGGGGCGGUCGCCUCCUAAAAGGUAACGGAGGCGCUCGAAGGUCACCUCAGAAUGAUUGGAAACCAUUCAAAGAGUGUAAAGGCAAAAGGUGGCUUGACUGCGAGAGCGACGGCUCGAGCAGGUACGAAAGUAGGACUUAGUGAUCCGGUGGUAAUAAGUGGGAAUGCCAUCGCUCAACGGAUAAAAGCUACCCUGGGGAUAACAGGCUUAUCUCCCCCAAGAGUUCACAUCGACGGGGAGGUUUGGCACCUCGAUGUCGGCUCAUCGC